UGGGGAAUUUUGGACAAUGGGCGAAAGCCUGAUCCAGCAAUGCCGCGUGUGUGAAGAAGGCCUUCGGGUUGUAAAGCACUUUUGUCCGGAAAGAAAUCCUUGGCUCUAAUACAGUCGGGGGAUGGCGGUACCGGAAGAAUAAGCACCGGCUAACUACGUGCCAGCAGCCGCGGUAAUACGACGAGGGCUAGCAAGCUGAUUAAUCGGAAUUACUGGGCGUAAAGCGUGCGCAGGCGGUUUGCUAAGACCGAUGUGAAAUCCCCGGGCUCAACCUGGGAACUGCAUUGGUGACUGGCAGGCUAGAGUAUGGCAGAGGGGGGUAGAAUUCCACGUGUAGCAGUGAGAUGCGUAGAGAUGUGGAGGAAUACCGAUGGCGAAGGCAGCCCCCUGGGCCAAGUACUGACGCUCAUGCACGAAAGCGUGGGGAGCAAACAGGAUUAGAUACCCUGGUAGUCCACGCCCUAAACGAUGUCAACUAGUUGUUGGGGAUUCAUUUCCUUAGUAACGUAGCUAACGCGUGAAGUUGACCGCCUGGGGAGUACGGUCGCAAGAUUAAAACUCAAAUGAAUUGACGGGGU
rnacentral:rRNA from 1 species